UGGAUGAUAGAUUAGUGGUUAAGUCAUUAGACUGUUAAUUAGAAGGUUGUGAGUUCAAAUCCCAGUGCUGCCAA